rnacentral:rRNA from 1 species
UACAGAGGGUGCAAGCGUUGUUCGGAUUUACUGGGCGUAAAGGGCGCGUAGGCGGCCACCGCAAGUCAGUUGUGAAAUCUCUGGGCUUAACCCAGAACGGUCAGCUGAUACUGCGGGGCUAGAGUGCAGAAGGGGCAACUGGAAUUCUCGGUGUAGCGGUGAAAUGCGUAGAUAUCGAGAGGAACACCUGCGGCGAAGGCGGGUUGCUGGGCUGACACUGACGCUGACAGCGCGAAAGCUAGGGGAGCGAACGGG